AGUUCAGAUUGCAGGCUGCAACCCGCCUGCAUGGAGUCGGAAUUGCUAGUAAUCGCGGAUCAGCAUGCCGCGGUGAAUACGUUCCCGGGCCUUGUACACACCGCCCGUCACACCAUGGGAGCCGGUAAUACCCGAAGUCAGUAGUCCAACCUCGUGAGGACGCUGCCGAAGGUAGGAUUGGCGACUGGGGUGAAGUCGUAACAAGGUACC
rnacentral:rRNA from 1 species